rnacentral:rRNA from 1 species
GAGGGGUGCAAACGUUAUUCGGAUUUAUUGGGUGUAAAGGGUGUGUAGACGGGUUAUUAAGUUCGUUGUUAAAUCUUCCGGCCUAACCGGAAGCUCGCGAUGAAAACUGAUAGUCUAGAGGAUGGAAGAGAGAAGUGGAAUUCUCGGAGUAGCGGUAAAAUGCGUAGAUCUCGAGAGGAACACCGAUGGCGAAGGCAGCUUCUUGGUCCAUUCCUGACGUUGAAACACGAAAGCGUGGGGAGCAAACAGGAUUAGAUACCCUGGGUAGUCCACGCCGUAAACGAUGAUCACUAGAUGUUGGCCCCUGUUUUGCAGGGUUAGUAUCGAAGCUAACGCGUUAAGUGAUCCACCUGGGGAACUACGAUCGCAAGAUUAA